UGGAACGUGCAGCAGCAAAACAGACCGUGCAGCAAGAAAGAGGCAGACAGAAAGAGAGGAGCAGAGAGGAAAAGAGAAAAGGAGAGGAGAUGGAGAGAGAAACAGAGAGGCAGAGAGAAACAAAGAAAGAUCGAAAUGGGAGGAACAUGACAAGCCUUGUCAUAGGCAGACAGCAGGGGAAGCAGCAGCGGAGGCAAGACGGCAGCUUGGCAUUGAGAGCCGCAGGACGGCACGGGUUGCUAUGACUACUCAAAGGGCACGGACAGCACGGACGGCUUCAACGGGGGCUCUCUCUCCCUCUCUCCGUCUCUCCCUCUCUCUAAAUAAUGAGUCUUUGUUGAUACAGUGUAUUCUUAGAAGCUACACUCUGGUCAUGAUCGUGUCCCUGGCAACACCAGCAACGUGUCAGAUAUCUCAGUGCUAAUUUCACACAGAUGUUGUCAGAUUGUUAGUGUUGGCAUUGUUAUUAUUGCCCCAUAAAAUAUCUCUGUUCAGGAGUUUUUUGACAUGAAAUUUGGCCUUUAUAACUACUCUGGUACUCGUCAAGAUCAUAUCCCCUAUUUAUUCUCCUCAGUCAGUUGAUUUCUGCAUUUUCUUAGUGAAAAUGCAAGAUGAAGGGAAAUUGCAAUGAAAUACACACAUGAUGAGGAGGGAGAGACACAAAGAGAGGGUGUAUCUCAGUAGUAUAAAGUGAGUAGCUACAUCCCCUUGUCUAGCCUACUCUCCAUCUGAAUCAAUCCGGGUUGUGGGUGGAAGCAAUAUAGUAGAGGCCAUGAACUAAACACCCUGAUUGAUGCAAAAGUCCCCAAAAAUAUUCAAAACUAAAACAAAGUGCUGUUGAAGUUUUCAUUUUUUCCAAGGCCCAUUGUGUCAGAUGAAUAUAAGUAGACAGUGAUUUUUAGGUAAGCAAAGAUAAUAUGCUUCCUAAAUACCACAAUAUCAAUAUGGCACAGCUGCAGCGCAAUUACAGCAACAGCACAAAAGGUUUCUGUUCUGUGAGUCAAAAGCCUAUUGUCUUUACAAAUGUCUUAAUAAAUGUAAAAUAUAUGUUAAGCUCACUGAGAAUGUACAGAGAAAACAUUUUAAUGCAUAGCUAAAGCAAGCAUAUGGACUAUCCUUUUUCCUUUCCAUUUACCUUUUAGUUAUGCAUAGCUUAACAUUAUGAUUGCGUUAUGAAAAUCUUCAAAUUGCAAAUGAACUUUUAAUUUAUAUUAAUGUGCAGGUAGUUCAUUUUCUGAAGUGCAAUUUGUUUGUUGUUGUGUUUAUUAGUAUCCUCAUUACCCCAUUAGCAGCUUUCUUCCUGGGAUUCAACGGGGAUAAAACAAUUACAUCACAACAAAACACAACACAACAACCACCUACAUCAAAAAUAAAACAAUACAUCAUACAAGGUAUUAUUUCAUUAUUACUCUAUUAUUACAACCCUGUAGCUCACUACAAAUACAUUUUGUAAUAAGACCUUUGCUGCCAUCUAGGGGUCAGCUGAUAUACUAUUUUCCAUGGGCUGCAGCAUCUGCACUCAUCUGCCCAUGACUGUGUAUAACUGUAGGCUACUGAUAGAGAUGGAUACUUUUCACGGUUCA